AGCCCGUUGGUGUAAUGGUAGCACAACUGAUUCUGGUUCAGUUAGUCUAGGUUCGAAUCCUGGACGGGCUGCCA
rnacentral:tRNA from 1 species